UACGUAGGGUCCGAGCGUUGUCCGGAAUUACUGGGCGUAAAGAGCUCGUAGGCGGUUUGUUGCGUCGGCUGUGAAAUCCCGAGGCUCAACCUCGGGUCUGCAGUCGAUACGAGCAAACUAGAGUGUUGCAGGGGAGACUGGAAUUCCUGGUGUAGCGGUGAAAUGCGCAGAUAUCAGGAGGAACACCAAUGGCGAAGGCAGAUCUCUGGGCCGUAACUGACGCUGAGGAGCGAAAGCAUGGGGGAGCGAACAGG
rnacentral:rRNA from 1 species